GCCAAAAAAACAACAUACAAAUAUACCAUCUAAUCUAAAACAAACCAUUUGACCAACUAAGUAGAGGCGAUCGAACAGUCAUACACCAUAACAAGUACCGUAAGGGAAACAUCAAGCAAUUAACAGCAAAGAUUAACUCUUGUACCUUUCGCAUCAUGGUUUAGCAAGUCAACCCAGGCAAGAAGAAUCAUAGUCUAUCACCCCGAAACCAGAUGAGCUACCCCUAAACAGCCUAUAGGGCAAACCCUUCUCUGUAGCAAAAGAGUGGGAAGAUUUAGAGGUAGAGGCGAAACACCUACCGAAUCUGGAGAUAGCUGGCUACCCAAUAAAGGAAUCUAAGUUCCACUUUAGUCAAAAACAUAAACCAACAUAGUCUAAAGACACUCAAUAGGGGUACAGCCCUAUUGAAACAGGAUACAACCUGUAUUUGAGAGAAACCCCCCCCCCCAAUUUUUCCCAGUAGGCCUUAAAGCAGCCAACUAAGAAAAUAUCGUUAAAGAAUUACCAAAAACAAUACCAACCCCUACUAAAAACUCCAAAUAAACUAAAGGUAACCCUACCUCGCUAGUAGGAAAUAUUAUGCUAAAACUAAUAAUAAGACAACCUCUCUAAAACGCACUCUUCCACUAGAAACAGAAAACCUACUAGUAAUUAACAGACCUAAUCAGGACAAGUAAAAACCCAUACCCGUCUACCCCUAUAACUGUGACCCCAACACAGGUGCGUCAAAAAGAAAGAUUAAAUACUAAAAAAGGAAUUCGGCAACCUAAGACCCCAACUGUUUAACAAAAACAUAACCUUUAGCUAAACCAGUAUUAAAGGCAACGCCUGCCCAGUGAAUAGUUUAACGGCCGCGGUACCCUAACCGUGCAAAGGUAGCGUAAUCACUUGUCUAUUAAUUGUAGACCCGUAUGAAAGGCAUAAUGAGGGUCUAACUGUCUCUUUUAGUAAAUCAAUUAAACUGAUCUCCUAGUCCAAAAGCUAGGAUACCAACAUAAGACCAGAAGACCCUGUGAAACUUUAACUAAACUAUUAAACCCCAUAAUAACUCCUUUAGGUUGGGGCGACCUUGGAAAAAAAAAGAACUUCCAAAUAACAUAUUAAAUAAUAAUAUAGUACCAGGCCAACAAGCCUACCUACGACCCAGCACAGCUGAUAACUGAACCAAGCUACUCCAGGGAUAACAGCGCUAUCUUCUUCAAGAGCCCAUAUCAAAAAGAAGGUUUACGACCUCGAUGUUGGAUCAGGACAUCCUAACGGUGCAACCGCUAUUAAGGGUUCGUUUGUUCAACGAUUAACAGUCCUACGUGAUCUGAGUUCAGACCGGAGCAAUCCAGGUCGGUUUCUAUCUAUGAAUAGCCCCAUCCAGUACGAAAGGACCGAUGAAGCAGAGCCAAUACUACAAGCACGCUCUUACAAAAAUUUAACCAUCCCACCCGCUGACCAAAACAAGGUCAAUUAAGGAACAUACAACCUUAAUAU
rnacentral:rRNA from 1 species